rnacentral:rRNA from 1 species
CCUACGGGUGGCAGCAGUGGGGAAUAUUGGACAAUGGGGGCAACCCUGAUCCAGCCAUGCCGCGUGUGUGAAGAAGGCCCUCGGGUUGUAAGGCACUUUCAGUGAGGAAGAACGCCUGGUGGUUAAUACCCAUCAGGAAAGACAUCACUCACAGAAGAAGCACCGGCUAACUCCGUGCCAGCAGCCGCGGUAAUACGGAGGGUGCGAGCGUUAAUCGGAAUUACUGGGCGUAAAGCGCGCGUAGGUGGCUUGAUAAGCCGGUUGUGAAAGCCCCGGGCUCAACCUGGGAACGGCAUCCGGAACUGUCAAGCUAGAGUGCAGGAGAGGAAGGUAGAAUUCCCGGUGUAGCGGUGAAAUGCGUAGAGAUCGGGAGGAAUACCAGUGGCGAAGGCGGCCUUCUGGACUGACACUGACACUGAGGUGCGAAAGCGUGGGUAGCAAACAGGAUUAGAUACCCUAGUAGUC